CCUACGGGCGGCAGCAGUGAGGAAUAUUGGUCAAUGGACGAGAGUCUGAACCAGCCAAGUACCGUGAAGGAUGACUGCCCUAUGGGUUGUAAACUUCUUUUAUAUGGGAAUAAAAUGUUCCACGUGUGGGAUUUUGUAUGUACCAUAUGAAUAAGGAUCGGCUAACUCCGUGCCAGCAGCCGCGGUAAUACGGAGGAUCCGAGCGUUAUCCGGAUUUAUUGGGUUUAAAGGGAGCGUAGGUGGAUUGUUAAGUCAGUUGUGAAAGUUUGCGGCUCAACCGUAAAAUUGCAGUUGAAACUGGCAGUCUUGAGUACAGUAGAGGUGGGCGGAAUUCGUGGUGUAGCGGUGAAAUGCUUAGAUAUCACGAAGAACUCCGAUUGCGAAGGCAGUUCACUGGACUGCAACUGACACUGAGGCUCGAAAGUGUGGGUAUCAAACAGGAUUAGAUACCCCAGUAGUC
rnacentral:rRNA from 1 species